CCAAUAGCGUAUAUUAGUGUUGUUGCGGUUAAAAAGCUCGUAGUUGAAUUUCGGGAUUGGGAUAUAUUGGUCGUGCCUUUAGGGGCAUGAAUCGGUGUGUGGCCAAUUCUCACUUUCUGGUGAAUUGGGAUGCUCUCGGGUGUUUCAAUGAACUAGGACUUUUACUUUGAAAAAAUUAGAGUGUUUAAAGCGGGCAUUUUUGCUUGAAUACGUUAGCAUGGAAUAAUAAAAUAGGACGAUGGUUCUAUUUUGUUGGUUUUAGGACCACGUAAUGAUUAAUAGGGAUAGUUGGGGGCAUUAGUAUUCAAUUGUCAGAGGUGAAAUUCUUGGAUUUAUUGAGGACUAACUACUGCGAAAGCAUUUGCCAAGGAUGUUUUCAUUAAUCAAGAACGAAAGUUAGGGGAUCAAAGACGAUUUAUGUACGUCGUAGUCUUAACCAUAAACUAUGCCGACUAGGAAUCAGACAAAGUUAAUUUUUUAACGACUUGUUUGGUACCUUACG
rnacentral:rRNA from 1 species